UACGUAGGGCGCAAGCGUUGUCCGGAAUUAUUGGGCGUAAAGAGCUCGUAGGCGGUUCGUCACGUCGGCUGUGAAAACCUGAGGCUCAACCUCAGGCCUGCAGUCGAUACGGGCGGACUUGAGUACUGCAGGGGAGACUGGAAUUCCUGGUGUAGCGGUGAAAUGCGCAGAUAUCAGGAGGAACACCGGUGGCGAAGGCGGGUCUCUGGGCCGGUACCGACGCUGGAGGAGCGAAAGCGUUGGGGAGCGAACAGG
rnacentral:rRNA from 1 species